CCGCGGUAAUUCCAGCUCCAAUAGCGUAUAUUAAAGUUGUUGCAGUUAAAAAGCUCGUAGUUGAAUUUCGAGACCGGUUUAUUGGUCGUGCUUUUGUACGUACUGGUAUUAUUGGUUUCUCCUUUCUGACGAAUCUUAAUGCCAUUAAUUUGGUGUUUUGGGGAAUCAGGACUGUUACUUUGAAAAAAUUAGAGUGUUUAAAGCAGGCUCACGCUUGAAUACAUUAGCAUGGAAUAACGGAAUAGGACGUUUGAUUCUAUUUUGUUGGUUUCUAGGAUCGACGUAAUGAUUAAUAGGGAUAGUUGGGGGCAUUAGUAUUCAAUUGUCAGAGGUGAAAUUCUUGGAUUUAUUGAAGACUAACUACUGCGAAAGCAUUUGCCAAGGAUGUUUUCAUUAAUCAAGAACGAAAGUUAGGGGAUCGAAGACGAUCAGAUACCGUCGUAGUCUUAACCAUAAACUAUGCCGACUAGGGAUCGGAUGAUGUUAAUUUUUUAAUGACUCAUUCGGCGCCUUACG
rnacentral:misc_RNA from 1 species